AGCUCAGUCGGUAGAGCAGAGGACUGAAAAUCCUCGUGUCGGUGGUUCGAUUCCGCCCCUGGGCACCA
rnacentral:tRNA from 1 species